rnacentral:pre_miRNA from 11 species
UGGGGUUCAAUGGAGCUCUCUUUGCUCCUAGCUAGAAGGAGAUGAGGGUAUGCCACAGCUGCCAGUUCAUGAAUGCCCAUGGAUGCUCAAGUUCUAGCAUAUGGUGAGAGCAAGCUAUGGGUGAGCAUGACUUGGGAGAUGAGGGUACUUUGAUCUUUCUGGUAUUGGAGUGAAGGGAGCUCUAUGGUUCUUACUU